rnacentral:tRNA from 1 species
GGAGCGGUAGUCCAAGGGCAGGAGACACCAGACUUAAAAUCUGUUCAGUGGGAGUUCGAAUCUCCCUCGCUCUACCA